rnacentral:rRNA from 1 species
UACGGGGGGGGGCAAGCGUUGUUCGGAAUUACUGGGCGUAAAGGGCUCGUAGGUGGCCAACUAAGUCAGACGUGAAAUCCCUCGGCUUAACCGGGGGAACUGCGUCUGAUACUGGAUGGCUUGAGUUUGGGAGAGGGACGCGGAAUUCCAGGUGUAGCGGUGAAAUGCGUAGAUAUCUGGAGGAACACCGGUGGCGAAGGCGGCAUCCUGGACCGGUAUUGACGCUGAGGCGCGAAAGCCAGGGGAGCAAACGGG